GACGAACGCUGGCGGCGUGCCUAACACAUGCAAGUCGAGCGGGGUAGAGAGCUUCGGUUUUCUACUUAGUGGCGAACGGGUGAGUAACGCGUGAGGAACCUGCCUCUCAGUGGGGGACAACAGUUGGAAACGACUGCUAAUACCGCAUAAUAUGUACGGAUCGCAUGGUCUGUACAUCAAAGNUUUAUGCUGAGAGAUGGCCCUCGCGUCUGAUUAGGUAGUUGGUGAGGUAACGGCUCACCAAGCCGACGAUCAGUAGGGGUUCUGAGAGGAAGGUCCCCCACAUUGGAACUGAGACACGGUCCAAACUCCUACGGGAGGCAGCAGUGAGGAAUAUUGGUCAAUGGACGCAAGUCUGAACCAGCCAAGUCGCGUGAAGGAUGAAGGUUCUAUGGAUUGUAAACUU
rnacentral:rRNA from 1 species